rnacentral:rRNA from 1 species
UACGUAGGAGGCGAGCGUUGUCCGGAGUUACUGGGCGUAAAGGGUGCGCAGGCGGCGGUUCGCGUGGCGAGAUGAAAUCUCCUGGCUUACCUGGGAGGAUGGUCGCCAGACGGGAUCGCUUGAGGGUCGGAGAGGGGCGUGGAAUUCCGGGUGGAGCGGUGAAAUGCGUAGAGAUCCGGAGGAACACCGACGGCGUAGGCAGCGCCCUGGGCCGACACUGACGCUCAGGCACGAAAGCGUGGGGAGCAAACAGG